CCUACGGGAGGCAGCAGUGGGGAAUAUUGCACAAUGGGGGAAACCCUGAUGCAGCGACGCCGCGUGAGUGAAGAAGUAAUUCGGUAUGUAAAGCUCUAUUAGCAGGGAAGAAAAUGACGGUACCUGAGUAAGAAGCCCCGGCUAACUACGUGCCAGCAGCCGCGGUAAUACGUAGGGGGCAAGCGUUAUCCGGAUUUACUGGGUGUAAAGGGAGCGUAGACGGGAGUGCAAGUCUGAAGUGAAAGGCGGGGGCUCAACCCCCGGACUGCUAUGGAAACUGUACGGCUGGAGUGCAGGAGAGGUAAGUGGAAUUCCUGGUGUAGCGGUGAAAUGCGUAGAUAUUAAGAGGAACACCAGUGGCGAAGGCGGCUUACUAGACUGUAACUGACGUUGAGGCUCGAAAGCGUGGGGAGCAAACAGGAUUAGAUACCCGUGUAGUC
rnacentral:rRNA from 1 species